CACGGAGUUAGCCGGGGCUUAUUCUCCCGGUACAGUCAUUAUCUUCCCGGGUAAAAGAGCUUUACAACCCGAAGGCCUUCUUCACUCACGCGGCAUUGCUGGAUCAGGCUUUCGCCCAUUGUCCAAUAUUCCCCACUGCUGCCUCCCGUAGGAGUCUGGGCCGUGUCUCAGUCCCAGUGUGGCUGAUCAUCCUCUCAGACCAGCUAUGGAUCGUAGCCUUGGUAGGCCUUUACCCCACCAACUAGCUAAUCCAACGCGGGCUCAUCCCUAGGCGAUAAAUCUUUGGUCUUGCGACAUCAUACGGUAUUAGCACAAGUUUCCCUGAGUUAUUCCGUACCUAAGGGCAGAUUCCCACGCGUUACGCACCCGUGCGCCACUAGACCCGAAGGUCUCGUCCGACUUGCAUGUGUUAGGCAUGCCGCCAGCGUUCGUUCUGAGCCAGGAUCAAACUCU
rnacentral:rRNA from 1 species